CUUCCUCUCCUUUUCUUUUCUUUUCUUCUCUUCCUCUCCAGAAACUUCUCCCGGCUUCUUUCUUCUUCUCUCUUCUCUGUUUCUUCUCCUUUCCCCGCUUCUUCCUUUCUUCUUUUCCUUUUUUUUUCCUUCUUUCGUUCCCGAUUCACCUUCUCUUCUCCCAGCUUUCCCCUUCUUCUCAUAUUCUUCUCAACCCUCCCCCUUUCUUCUCCUUUCUUCUCCCACGGAGGGAGGAGGCGAGCUUGGGAGGGGCCAUGCCAUGACCGACAGUGCCUCCAGCCGAGCCCGCUGUGCCCUCGAUUGCGUUUGCAGCCGACGCUCGCGGCCUGCGCGCAUGGCCGAGCCGAGGCUGGCGGCUCCUGGGACGUCUGUGGAUGCUCCCUGUGAUGCCGAUGAACUUGCAGCCGCACACGGGUAAGCCCCCUUUUCCCUCUCUUCUUUCUUUCUCCUUUUCUUCUUCUUCCUCUUCUUUUCUUUUCUUUUCUUUUGAAUUGAUCUAUCCUCCCGAGUGGAUUGGGAGGAGAAAAUGCAGGAAAGGGAAAAUGAGGUGGUUGGGAGGCUUACUUGGUUUCGGGGGGGUGAACUGUGAUGACCCUCUCCGGCGGCAGUGGAGUUUUUUUUUUUUUUUUCAGCGGCAAGAGAGGAAGAAGGUCACCCAACCGGAAGAGGACUCGGCGUGGCGGCUCUACCUCGGGUGGCUUUCAAAUGAGGAGAAGAAGCCCUAAAAAAAUAGGGGUUUCCGUCUUCCUCGGGCGAUCGCGAUGAAUCCCUCUUCAUCGUGUGCCCUNNNNNNNNNNNNNNNNNNNNNNNNNNNNNNNNNNNCUCACAGUCACCUUGUUGGGUCACUUUGGAUCUUCUGAGGACGAGAUCUCCUG
rnacentral:lncRNA from 1 species